rnacentral:lncRNA from 1 species
AUAAAACUGACUUUAAAAAGUACUUGUGACCCUCCAGUGAUGAGUGAGCAUUGCGUCAGAGUUGUUUCCUUGACACAUUUUCUUCUCUUGGUUUCCCCAACAUUAUACUUUUCUUGAGUUUCCUCCUCCAUCACAGUUAGUGCUUCAGUAGUCUUUGUUAGCCUCCUUUUCCAGUUCUAUUUCUUCCCAGCCUCAUAAACUUGGAGUUCUCAAGUCCCUUCUCCUCCUUUUUUUCCUGCUAUAGGAACAAAAUUUGGAGGGAGGUAGCUCAGGGAAAGGAUGUAAACUGUAGUAACUUUUGGUUGAUCUCAUGUGUGUCAGGGGUCUUCAAAACCACCUUUAGGUUCCAGUGAUUCAUUAAAAGGAGUCACACAAUUCAGCAUAUAAUCAUACUCUUAGCUAAAAUUUAUUACAGCAAAAGGGUGUAAAGCAAAAUUCACAGUAAAAUUUUCUUAUUUCCAAAAAUAAAAAAAUUAUAUCUUUCUGAGUAUCCUUUUGAAAAAUCACAUCUAUGAGUGUGACCAUCAGCUUCAAAGCAGAUACUGGUUUUUCUUCACUUUUCUUCCAUCUUUCAUGGUCCAAAAGGCCCAUUAGAAACUUGCCAUCUUUGGGUUUGCUUCAGUGAGU